rnacentral:rRNA from 1 species
AUCCAGACUCCUACGGGAGGCAGCAGUGGGGAAUAUUGCACAAUGGGGGAAACCCUGAUGCAGCGACGCCGCGUGAGUGAAGAAGUAAUUCGUUAUGUAAAGCUCUCUCAGCAGGGAAGAAAAUGACGGUACCUGAGUAAGAAGCCCCGGCUAACUACGUGCCAGCAGCCGCGGUAAUACGUAUGGUGCAAGCGUUAUCCGGAAUGACUGGGUGUAAAGGGAGCGUAGACGGUUGUACAAGUCUGAUGUGAAAGGCGGGGGCCCAACCCCCGGACUGCUCUGGAAACUGUAUAGCUGGAGUGCAGGAGAGGUAAGUGGAAUUCCUAGUGUAGCGGUGAAAUGUGUAGAUAUUAGGAGGAACACCAGUGGCGAAGGCGGCUUACUGGACUGUAACUGACGUUGAGGCUCGAAAGCGUGGGGAGCAAACAGGAUUAGAUACCCGCGUAAA